GCUGGGGUAGCUUAGCUGGUUAGAGCGGUCGUCUCAUACGCGACAGGUCGUGAGUUCGAAUCUCACCCUCAGCA
rnacentral:tRNA from 1 species